rnacentral:lncRNA from 1 species
CUUCAAACUGAUUAAGGGUUAGUAGAGUACCCGAAGGUCUCGGAACUGGCUCAUUUGGCUUACUGGGAACCAAUGUUAUCUUCACACCACCAAACAAGAAACUGUAAGUGUUAGUCCGUCCGUUAUGAUCUAUGUUACGAUGAUACUCCCAAGGUCUGCCCAACAACAAAUGACAUGCAUCCAUAGCAACCACAUCACACCACACAUCAUCUUUAUACGUGGUACCAACAUAAAAUUGAACAAGCGCUCAUUUAGAUACAAUGACCUCGCCACCCUUCUUAAGCCACUGUAGCUUGUAAGGCUUAGGGCGAUUUUCUGUUUUCAAAGCCAACUUUUGAACUGCUUCCUCAGAUAUAAGGUUAUCACAACUUCUUAAAUCAACAACAAAAGUACAAACCUUUCCCAAAAUAGUACAUGUCGACUGAAAGAUGUUGUGUUUGAGCCAAUAAUCACCAACAGCUUUUGGUGUAAAACAAGACCGCCUUACCACCAAAUCUACCCCCACGUCUCCAGUUACAACUUCCUCUUCGCAUUGAUGCUCUUCGUCAUACACAGGGGGGUCUUCGUAAUUUUCACCGGCAUCAUCAUCUUGCCAAUCAUCUUGCUCAACAAACAAAUGACGUUUUCCAACCUUCUUGCACUCUGAUUGUCGGUGACCUGUCUUCCCACAACUAAAACACUUCAAGAUGCUACUAACAGUUGUCCUAGGAUUUGGUCCAACACUGUUAGAUGUCGGUCUUUGUUGAUUAGGCACAACACGGGGUACCAUACCAGCCGUCCCUGGACUUCCUCCAAUAUUGGCAGUUGAAGACGAACCGCCCACCCGACGACUUUGUUUCUCAAAAGCCAACGCCCGUUGGUGCGCUUCAGAAAUAGAUACCGGGUCAAACAUAUUUACAGAGUCCAUGAUUUGGACCCGUAGACCCCCAAUAUAUCGAGCAACGAGUUGUUCCUCUGUCUCCUGGAUAUCGUUUCGGGCAAUCAAUUGGUAGAACUCAGUUGUGUAAUCGUCAACUGAUUUGGCACCCUGCUUCAGAUUUUGCAACCGUUGGUACAUCAACCUUUGAAAAUUAUGGGGUAGGAAGUUGGAUCGUAAACACUUCUUCAUCUUCCUCCAAGUCACGACCUUUGACUUUCCNGUCUCAUGCAGUUUCAGUUGUUGCCACCAUGCAGAUGCCCUACCACGUAGCCUGGUAGCAAUCAAUGACACUUUUUUGUUUUCAGGGACUUCUUUGAACUCAAAAACUUCCUCAACAGUAGCCAACCAGUCGAUGAACCCCUCUGGAUUGAAACUGACCCCGUCGAAUUCUGGGAUAUCAAUUCUCAUUUCAGCCUCCCAACGCCUAUUGUCACCUCUAUGAUCACGCCUUGGCCGCCUUUCUAGAUCAUCUUCAGAAUAUGAACCGUCACUGCCGCCGAACGGGUUCCCAAAUUCACCAUCUUCCACUUGAGAAUGUGAUUGAGACCUUUGACCUCCUCGAUUCAUCAGUUCGACCAUCCUAUCAGUCAGUUGGUCAACCAUUUGAUCCAUCCUCUCCUCCAUUCGUGCCAUAAUACGUUCUUCUAGUUCUUGCUCAUGAACAUUAGCGGGCGUCCUGUUUCUCCUCGGAGGCAUUUUGAACCAGGAAUUCGGCUCUGAUACCAACUGAUGCAGCGCAAAAAAACAACACAAAGAUAACCAAGAAUGAACCUGUUGAUUCUAAAAGAAUAGCCAGGACAAUCUCUUCAAAACCACGUUGAUUCUACGAAUACCGUGGGAUUGGCUUCAAAAUCUGGGUUAACACGCAGAAUUUGAGAGAAAAUCGAAAGUUCAUAAAAUUGAUGAUUGACCAUCAAAAUUACAUCAAAAAUAGUUAAAUAAGAAGCAGAAAUUAAAAUGAAACCCUAAAAGUCCAUGGGCCAAAUACAAACCCAAAAACAAAACCCAAAAAUUAAGNGAAAAAUAACAAAAUUGUUCAUAACUCCAUUUAGAAAGCGAUUUCUGGACUCAAAAAUGGGUAAGUCCCCUUCGGGCACUUAUCUACACGUGCUCCUUGCUCCAAGCUUCAAUUUGACUGGUCGUAGGCCCGAAACGGAGAUUCGUAGCCAAAUUUAUGGUGAUUUUCGUGAAGCCCCUUUAGUCACACGAUCGUGGGCCUCUAGGAAUGCAAGGGCCCGAUCCUCCACACUAGGGCCCACAUCAUCCCUUCCCAGGUAGACAAAAUUCAACCUCAAAUGUGCACCAUUGUCAUCAUCAGAAGAAUCCCCAUAAUAAGGAUGCAAAUGCUUUACAUUAAAUACAUCGGAACAACGAAUGUGGCUUGGCAACUGUAGACGGUAAGCACGGGAAUUAAUCUUCUCCAUAAUCUCCGCUGGUCCAAUCUUCUUACCUGAUAGCUUGUUGUAGUCACCAACCGAAAAACGAUCUUUAGUCAAAACAGCCCAAACAAAGUCACCUACUUCAAAAUCAACUUGUCUGCGUUUUUUAUCUACAUCUUGCUUGUACUUGGAGUUAGCUCGGACCAAGUUGUCAUGAACAACCCUAUGAAGAUCAUGUAGUCCUCCAAGAAAAUGCUGCACUUUCUUUGGAACAACCCUAGAAACAGGCAGCGACAUCAAGUCAAGUGGUCCCCGUGGCUGAACAGAAUAGACCACCUGGAAUGGACUAUAUCCAGUACUUCGGUUGAUAGCAUGAUUAUGAGCAAACUCAGCUUGACAAAGCUUCUGAUCCCAGGUCUUCACAUGAUCACCCACUAAACACCGCAAAAUAUUACCAAGGGAUCGAUUGACAACCUCUGUUUGGCCAUCCGUUUGAGGAUGAUAUGCACUACUAAAAUUGAGCUGAGUGUUCACCAUUUUCCAUAGGCUACGCCAAAAAUGACUCAAAAACCUAGUGUCUCGAUCUGAUACAAUAGAAGACGGUAAUCCAUGCAAACGGUAGACGUCUCGAAAGAAUAACUGGGCCACAUUAACUGCAUCCGUCGUCUUUUUGCAUGGAAUAAAGUGCACCAUCUUAGAAAAACGAUCAACAACCACAAAUAUUGAAUCAUUUCCCCGUUGAGUACGUGGUAAACCCAACACAAAAUCCAUACUGAUGUCUACCCAAGGUUGUGAUGGAACAGGCAAAGGCAUAUAGAGUCCUGCAUUGGUAGAUGUGCCCUUUGACACCUGACAGAUUCGACACCGUUUAACAUAUCUAUCCACCUCCUUGCGCAUUGUAGGCCAAAAAUAAGUUGAUUGUACCAACUGUAAAGUGCGAUCUCGGUGGACAUGCCAUUCACCAUGUAGCUCCCUAAUGAUUUGAAGGCGAAGACUUGAAUCAGGGUUGCACAAUUGAUUGCCUGUGAAAAGAAAACCUUCAUGUAGUAGAAAAUCAGACAUUUAUCCAGAUUGUAUACCCUGCAGAACAACAGAAAAAUAAGGAUCAACCGUUAGCUGCUCCAUGAGGACAUCCAUCCCCGACACACCAACCCUCAUGGAAACUAGCAAAUUACUCCUCCGACUCAAUGCAUCAGCCACCCGAUUUGACAUCCCAGACUUGUGUUUAACCACGAAAGUGAAUUUUUCCAAGAACGACAUCCACCUCCCAUGUUUGUGUGACACCUUAUCUUGACUGCGAAUAUGUCUUAAUGAAUCAUGAUCUGUGAACAAAACAAAUUCCUUAUGAAAUAGAUAAUGGCGCCAAUGCUUUACAGCUUGGACCACUGCAUAGAACUCAACAUCAUAAGUGCUAUAACGCAGCUUUGGCCCCGUCAACUUCUCACUAAAAUAGGCAACCGGUCGUCCUCCUUGACUUAGAACUGCUCCAAUCCCAACCUUGGAAGCAUCCGUGUGUAAUUCAAACACUUGAGAAAAGUCUGGCAAUACAAGAAUCGGUGAUGUAGUAAGCUUCUCUUUUACUAAUUGGAAAGCUGAUUCUGCUGCUUCGGUCCAAGUAAAGGUCUUCCCUUUCAUACAAUCAGUCACCGGUGCCAUAAUAGAACUAAAGUUUGGAAUAAACCUCCUAUAGAAUGAAGCAAGGCCAUGAAAGCUUCGAACUUCAGUGAUGGUAGUUGGACUUGGCCAUUGUCUGACAGCUGCUACUUUAGACUCGUCCACCUGUAUUCCUUCCCCAGAAACAACGUACCCCAAGAACAAGACUUUAGGAACCAUAAACACACAUUUCUUCAUAGCUGCGUACAAACUAUCCCGUCGAAGUACAGUCAAAACCUGCCUCACAUGGUUGACAUGCUCACCAAAAGUAGCACUGUAAAUAAGUAUGUCAUCAAAAUAAACGACUACAAAUUUACCAAUAAAGGGCCUGAACAACUGGUUCAUCACACGCAUAAAUGUACUAGGAGCGUUUGAUAAACCGAAAGGCAUCACCAACCACUCAUACAAUCCUUCACGAGUCUUGAAGGCAGUCUUCCACUCAUCCCCAGGCCUAAGUCGAAUCUGAUAGUACCCGCUCUUCAAGUCCAGUUUCGUAAAGAUAGAGGCACCACUAAUCUGGUCAAGUAGGUCAUCAAGUCGAGGAAUUGGAAAUCUAUACCUCACCGUGAUCUUGUUGAUGGCGCGACUAUCAACACACAUACGCCAAGUACCAUCCUUUUUAGGAGUCAACAAAGCAGGAACAGCACACGGGCUCAUGCUCUCUCGAACAUGACCUUUUGAAAUCAAAUCCUCCACCUGUCGUCGCAACUCCUCAUGCUCUCCGGGACUCAUUCUGUAAUGUGGCCUAUUAGGCAACUGAGCUCCUGGUUGUAAAUCAAUAUGACGUUGGAUGUCACGUAAAGGUGGCAAACCAUCAGGUAAUUCAUUACGGAAAACAUCAGCGAAUUCCUUGAGCAGAGGAACCAUAGUCUUAUGAAUUUCAACCUCCUUAGCGACUUCCUUCCCGAGCAAUACAAAAAUUUCACCAUCCGCCUCCAACUAUUCUUUAAACUGAUUAAGGGUGAGUAGAGUACCCGAAGGUCUCGGAACUGGCUUAUUUGGCUUACUGGGAACCAAUGUUAUCUUCACACCACCAAACAAGAAACUGUAAGUGUUAGUCCGCCCGUUAUGAUCUAUGUUACGAUCAUACUCCCAAGGUCUGCCCAACAACAAAUGACAUGCAUCCAUAGCAACCACAUCACACCACACAUUAUCUUUAUACGU